GGUCAAGCUACUUAGGGCGCGCGGUGGAUGCCUUGGUACCAGAGGCCGAUGAAGGACGUGGUAAGGCUGCGAUAAGCUCCGUCUAGCUGCCAAACAAGCUUAAGCGGAGAUUUCCGAAUGGGGUAACCCGGCUCGGCAAAACCGAGUCACUCCGGAUUGAACACAUAGAUCCGGUAGAGGGCACCGGGGGAACUGAAACAUCUAAGUACCCCGAGGAAAAGAGAGUAUUCCCCUAGUAGCGGCGAGCGAACGGGGAGAAGCCCAAACCGGUGCGCUACGGCGUGCCGGGGUUGUAGGGCCGGACAUUGUGCAGUUACAAAACGUACAUUUAGGAGAACGGCCCUGGAACGGCCGGCCAAAGAGGGUGAUAGCCCCGUAAACGAAAAGUGUGCGACUGCCGACCGGUACCUGAGUACCACGGGACACGUGAAACCCCGUGGGAAUCUGGGGAGACCACUUCCCAAGGCUAAAUACCUCUGGUGACCGAUAGUGAACAAGUACCGUGAGGGAAAGGUGAAAAGUACCCCGGGAGGGGAGUGAAAGAGAUCCUGAAACCGCGUGCCUACGUGCAGUCGGAGCCCGUUUCGACGGGUGACGGCGUGCCUAUUGAAGAAUGAGCCGGUGAGUUACUUUACGUGGCAAGGUUAAGCAAGGUGACUUGUGGAGCCGUAGCGAAAGCGAGUCCGAAUAGGGCGAUUGAG
rnacentral:ncRNA from 1 species